rnacentral:misc_RNA from 1 species
UUUUGUUCAGUUAUUGCGGAUUGUUCGUGGUGUUCAGAUGUAGAAAAUGCGCCCAUAUGAAAUGCAAGGAAUGCUCGUACGCAUGGCCAUCGCGGGCCUCUCGUUGACCGUCUCCAUUGUCAUCCUGUUGCUGUUCCCCACCUGGGAGCAGCCCCGCGAGUCCUGGGAGAUCUCUGUGUGGUAUUACAUCUGCCUGCUGCAGGCGAUCGGAGGAGUGCUCCUCGUCGUGGGCUCCCUGAAGGCUAAUCAUUGGCUGUUCUUGCCCUGGGUGGUGGCGGCUAUAGUUUUUAUCUACACUCUGCUCUACAAAACCGUCAACUACUAUUGCUAUCUGCAGGGAAAACUGCUGGUUGUGGUAAUCCCCCUUUUUUACAUCAUUGCGGGUUUUUGGCUCUACUUUCUGUGCGAUGUCUUCCAGGACUUUCUCGACUUGCAUCGCAAAUCCUCUCCGCAGAUCCUCAGUCACGACCCAAAUAGUCCUCUUGCUGUUGUAGAUUCACAUUCUCCUUGACGGCAUUAAAGUGCACUCUGCUACCACGUGAAAUGCAAUUGAGCUGAGCGUAAAGGCAAAUAAGUGUGAAAAUUGCGGCACGCCCAACCACACAGAAUCAAAAGCCACAUGGGCGUAGCCCCGACACCUACAGAAGGGGCUGUGCGGCGACUGCGGCGGCUUGACUGGCAAUUAGAAUUGAGAGCAAAAACUUUGCUGCAUCUCAUGCCUGCCCCCGAAACCAUCAACACAAUUACCACCACCCCUGGUGGUACAGUCUGCGAUGAGCUUUUGUUGUCUGCAAAGUUUGCCUUUGACACGGGGUGGCUACACCCAUCACCCUGCCCCCAUCAGGCAUGAUGCCCUACCCGCAGCCCCCCUCAGUGUCCACCUGGGAUGGCUGGAAAAUGGAAUCCAUUCAUUCAAAUCUAUGCGAGUGUCGGUGUCUGCGCUGCUUGUUCAACAAAAUUGAAAAUUAACUAUAAAUUCUAUGUGGCAAAACAUGCAAACAUGUUUGCGGAAAUACCCAACAGACCCGGCAAUCUGAGGCGGAGAUCGGGCCUGCCCCCAGAGCGGUGCGGGGAGGCGACCCUGAUGAGGUGUCAACCGAGGCAAACACCUUGAUGACAUCGAACACCCCUCAUAGCACCAUGGCACAAAGCGAUUCAUUGUUGCGAAAUUUAAUGCAAGAAAUUCAUUAAAAAAAAAUAACAUAAAUAAUGAAACAGCACCACUCUCGACGAGGGCUGGGGCUGGAGUUCGGGUGCUGACACCAAAUUGAAUUGCCCGAAAUUUGCUUGUGCCCCGCAUACCCUGUACUCGAAGAUGUCUUAGUUUUGUGGUGCAUGUGGAUGUUUUAACA